GGCAAUAUAAAUAGCAUCAAUAUUCAUAAAUUAAACAAUGAGAAAUGGAUGCAAACAAAGUUAAAAAACAAAAUAAUACCAGCAGAAUUUGAUUAGAUAAGGACUAGGUUUACAACCAUCAAGAAUUACACCAUUGUAACAUUUUGUACUCCAUACGUUAGUUCUAUAUCAACCAACAUAUUCAUAGGUGAUCAAUGGAUGACUGGCUUGAGAGGAUGAGCUCUUAGGUUUGAUAAGUCAAUAUGUGAAUCAAGCUCUUCAUCCAGUUCCCCAACAAUGCUUCUGAAAGAAUCAAUCAGGAAAGAUCAGAAAAAAGCCACAGUUUAGGAUGUAGUGAGAACACAAGGGAACUAAGAAAUUGAAUACUCCUCGCCAAGCAAAAAAACAAAAAUAUUAUAAAGCGCAAGAAACAAUGAAGAAAGCAUUUACAUGUUGUCACCCCUUAUUAUGUACAAACCCAGAACAAGUUGUUGAACGCCCUCCUGCAAAUCAAUUAAUAGUUAUUCAUGCAGCGUGAGUACAUAAAAUAUCAUCUUCAAAUGUUCAAACUAUAAAUGAAGUUUCAACUCAGCUCAGUAUUAAACUGUCUAAGAGGAGCUGGAAUUACAUCAUUUAAAUAAUAGCAGUUCAACUCAGAUAAUAUUAAAUAUCCCCUUGGGAAACAUUAAACUGCAUCAAAUUUGUUAGAAAACCAAGAAUAAAUCACUGCUUCAUGUACAGCUUCUUAGACAAAUAAGCAUAAAAACCUUAGUAGAGUAAACACGUUCAUGAGAUUCAUCGAGGAUGAUAUUUGUGGCCUGGUCAAAGCCUUUCAAGAUUCCCUGAAUCAUAAAGCUCUUCAUAAUUAAGAUGAUAUUCUAAAUGAUCACAUGAAUGUAUUAAAGAAAUAUAGGUCAUGCAGACCAAACUUAUAGCUUACCACUAUGUUGCGGCCAUCAUUGGUUAUAACUGAAAUUGUUUCUGCAAAAAAGGGAAAUAAUUACAGGAUAACUAUGCCAAAUUGGAGAAAAUCUGAACGAGUCAAUGCCACUGAAGCAUGAAGAGAAUUCCUUUCUCAGCAAGAAUUAUGUGGAACAAACAUUAAAAAUAAAAUAAAAUAAAACAAAGCCUAGGCUCAAAAACAAAACACAAGUCAUACACCUCAAAAAGUAGUCCUGUAAAGCAUAUUGUUCAUGAAACACGGCAUAGUUUAGGUUGUGACUUUUUAAUCUAUUUUACCCCAACUCAUAAAGCCCAUGCUUGAUCAGAUGACAGAAUCAUGCAUCUUUCUUGGCAUUUCCUAGUAAAGCAAUGUUAAUCAAAGUUCCUUAUAUUAUGUGCUUGUUAAUGAUAGUAUUUCUGCAGCAUAUUUCACAUGUAAUUUGAUUUUAAAAAUAUAUUUAUCAUAUUACUUCUUCCAUUUCUUACAAAUCUUAUGGAAUUUUUACGCAUUUCUUAAGUGUUUUAACAUGCUUUUCAAAACAGUUUGAAUAAUAUUUAUCACAGGCUUUCAUAUUACUUCUUGAAUCAAAGUUUCAAUUUUCAAAAUGCUUACACCUCAAUGUCUAAAUAGUAAGCCACAUCUUGCAUUUUAUGAUAUCUCAAGGACUAAAUGCUUCGAAGUUCCAAGGAAAGCAGUCUUGCUACUAAAUUUUAGCCUUUAAAGUCUACAGGAAUGAAAAAGCAAUUAAACAGGAUCUUAAAGAAUUUGCAUACGAUCUACAAGAGACUCAAGACCAGGACCAGUAGACAUGUUGCAAGCCCUGAAGCAGCUGAGAGAGAAACUCCUUUACAAGACUGGCUAUAACUACAGUCAAUCUCUCAAGAAAGAAUCGGACAUCGUGAAGAAACUGAAGAUUCAAUGAUGCGAUUCAAGCAGAAGAGUGAAGAAAUUGAAGAGAAUCAAGUUAAGAGUUAAUACACUGAAGAUUUAAGGAGAAAAAGAGAGGGAGCGAAAGAAGAGAAUCGACUGAAGGCUCAAGUAAUUGAAGUUGGAGGUUGAAUGCGUUUUGAGAUGGUAGGAUUAACAAUCGACAUCAUUUUGGUUCCAAUAACAGGUAGGCUAAAUCAGACCUGCUCCAACCGUUAAAAUCGUGAUGGGUCAACUGGAUCACCAGUAACCCAGCCGAUUCCCCAGAUUUUUAGGAGGUU
rnacentral:misc_RNA from 1 species